GAGCUAUCUCCUGAGGAUUUGACCGCUACCUGGGGGAAAGAAAAACAUUUGAAAACGGGAGAUUAGAGAGAAGUUUUGAUAAUGUCAAGUGUUGAUGAUGAAAGAAGACUCUAUGAAUGUGCAAGGAAAUACCAAAUAAUUGUCAAACAGUUUGAUGAAUUGAUUGAGAUGAUAGACAAUAAGACAAAGUCAAUGAGAUCAUCGAAACGACGACGAAUGUCCUCUAUCUCAAGAACAAGCAAUAAUUCGUCAACCACUUCGACUCAGCCAACCUCAAGUCAUUUUCAACCAAAUUACAACGAUGAUGGAGCAUUUGUGCAAACCAUCACUAGAUUCCUCCAUGAACUCAGAACCGAUCCGACCGAACCGGAUAGCUCCAUUCAUUUUCAAAAUUAAAGAUUGUUUUUCUUUAGUACAACAAAUAUGAAGUGAAGGUCGAAGUUUGACCUUUGGACUUUUUUAACUAUUAGUGUUUAUGU